CCCAGACAGCCAGGAUGUUGGCUUAGAAGCAGCCAUCAUUUAAAGAAAGCGUAAUAGCUCACUGGUCGAGUCGGCCUGCGCGGAAGAUGUAACGGGGCUAAACCAUGCACCGAAGCUGCGGCAGCGAACGUAUCACUUAAAGCGAUUCAGCGGGUUACGAUUGACGGAGCGAAGCGACGUCAAAGCGUAUACAAAGUCGAGUCGGUUUAAGGAUACGUUCGUUGGGUAGGGGAGCGUUCUGUAAGCCUGUGAAGGUGGCCUGUGAGGGUUGCUGGAGGUAUCAGAAGUGCGAAUGCUGACAUAAGUAACGAUAAAGCGGGUGAAAAGCCCGCUCGCCGGAAGACCAAGGGUUCCUGUCCAACGUUAAUCGGGGCAGGGUGAGUCGACCCCUAAGGCGAGGCCGAAAGGCGUAGUCGAUGGGAAACGGGUUAAUAUUCCCGUACUUGGUGUUACUGCGAAGGGGGGACGGAGAAGGCUAUGUUGGCCGGGCGACGGUUGUCCCGGUUUAAGCGUGUAGGCUGGUUUUCCAGGCAAAUCCGGUUCACUUUAAAACUGAGGCGUGACGACGAGGCACUACGGUGCUGAAGCAACAAAUGCCCUGCUUCCAGGAAAAGCCUCUAAGCAUCAGGUAACAUCAAAUCGUACCCCAAACCGACACAGGUGGUCAGGUAGAGAAUACCAAGGCGCUUGAGAGAACUC
rnacentral:rRNA from 1 species